rnacentral:rRNA from 1 species
GACGAACGCUGGCGGCGUGCUUAACACAUGCAAGUCGAACGGAAAGGCCCUGCUUUUGUGGGGUGCUCGAGUGGCGAACGGGUGAGUAACACGUGAGUAACCUGCCCUUGACUUUGGGAUAACUUCAGGAAACUGGGGCUAAUACCGGAUAGGAGCUCCUGCUGCAUGGUGGGGGUUGGAAAGUUUCGGCGGUUGGGGAUGGACUCGCGGCUUAUCAGCUUGUUGGUGGGGUAGUGGCUUACAAAGGCUUUGACGGGUAGCCGGCCUGAGAGGGUGACCGGGCACAUUGGGACUGAGGUACGGCCCAGACGCCUACGGGAGGCAGCAGGGGGGAAUAUUGCAGAAUGGGCGGAAGCCUGAUGCGGCAACGCCGCGUGCGGGAUGACGGCCUUCGGGUUGUAAACCGCUUUCGCCUGUGACGAAGCGUGAGUGACGGUAAUGGGUAAAGAAGCACCGGCUAACUACGUG